rnacentral:tRNA from 1 species
AGGGGCUUAGGAUAACAUAUAAACCAAGAGCCUUCAAAGCCCCAAAUGGGGGUGAAAUCCCCUCAGCCCCUA